rnacentral:rRNA from 1 species
CAGUAGCCGCGGGAAUACGGAGGAUCCAAGCGUUAUCCGGAAUCAUUGGGUUUAAAGGGUCCGUAGGCGGUCUUGUAAGUCAGUGGUGAAAGCCCAUCGCUCAACGGUGGAACGGCCAUUGAUACUGCAGGACUUGAAUUAUUGGGAAGUAACUAGAAUAUGUAGUGUAGCGGUGAAAUGCUUAGAGAUUACAUGGAAUACCAAUUGCGAAGGCAGGUUACUACCAAUUGAUUGACGCUGAUGGACGAAAGCGUGGGUAGCGAACAGGAUUAGAGACCCGCGUAGUCCCUGUCUCUUAUAC